UUCCACUUUUGAAUUUUUGCUCGCAGGCUUUAUGUUAGGUUCUGUUAAAUGCAAUUCUUUUUAAUCCUGCAUUUUGGGUGAACUUUUAUAGGUAAUGCGAAUUUAAUUUUUCUAAUGUUUCUUUUGGCAUCAUUACCAAAUACUCUUUCCGACAUAUAGGUGAUAAGUCCAUAACCUAAUAUCAUAACCGUGCAACAUUCUUUUGUUUUCCAGAAGAUCAAAGAUUCACUGCAAAUUAUAUUUACAAACUCUUUACAAAACAUUUUUCUCACAUACUUUUUUCUUUUGUCCUUUUUUCUUUGCUUUCAAACUUUUCUCUCUUCAAAUUUGUUUUUGCAAUUUUUUUCUGGUUUAUUUAUGGAUUUAAAGAAAACUUUCAACAUCUCUUUGUUUUGAGAGUAAAUAAUUAUAUAUAUUGCAAUAGCUAAUUGUAGUGAUUGUUGAACUUGAGAGGAGUUCACAAAAGAAUAAAAAUAUUCUUGAAAUAUUUUAGGUAGUUACGAUUAAUCCUUUUUGGCUUUUGUUUUGUUUUGUUUUUUUUUUUAUAAUGAAAAUCCCUGCUUUCAUUUAAGAUCAAAUGAAAGAAUACAAAGUAAACAUAAGAAAAAAGCUUGAGAUCAAAUGAAAGAAUACAAAGUAAACAUAAGAAAAAAUCAAAAAGGGUUCGAAUAAGCAACAAAGGACCUAAAAAGUAAUUAAAAGACACUUUUAUAUAACUUUUUUUAGAGGAAAUAGAGCUUUUCGUUGAUAAAAAGAAAAGAGACUAAUGCUAAAAAAUUACUAAAAAAUGAAAUAAUAAGAAAAAGAAAAACAACAAUAGAUAAGCGAUCACAACCCAAUACAAAACAAAGAUCAACCAUGAAAGGUAAAAGCUCUCGAUUCAAAGAAUAAAGUAGCCAACUAGAAUAAGUUUAAUAUAAUGCAUGCAAAGAUUUGCCUUGGACAAUAAUUUUUUUUUGCCUUUGUGAGUGACAUAGGACUUCAAGUUUUCCAUUGAAGAAAUUGUCAUUCUUUAGAUAAAGGAUUAACAAUGUGAAUUAAGUGUUCAAAUAUUACAUUAAGUAAUAUGUUAUGUGAUAUGUCAUAGAUAUGGACAAGGGAAGAUAACAUUGGAUUAAAGCGUGACUUUGGACUUCUUUAUUAAAAUAAUCUUCUCAUUCUUUGGAUAAAUAAUUAGCCAAUUAGGCAAAGUGUUGAAUAGUCCACUAAGUGUCAUUUGCCAUGGACAUGCAUAGGAGAGGGUAACAAUAUACCACACAACUGAACUAGGAAAGGACUAUCGAGUAGAAUAAUGUAUGUAAUGAGAAAGGAAGAUAAGUUGAGAUAUACGAAUUUUGGAUAAAAAAGUGAGAUUGGACUAUAAGUUUUUGAUUAAAGAAGUUCUUUCAUCCUUUGGUAAAAAGAUUAGCCAAUUGGGUUAAGUGUGAAUAUAAUACACGAAGUGAUCUACUUUGGUCAUGAAUUUGGGAACAAAACAUCGUUUAUGGAAAUGAAAUUUAAAAAAGGGUUAUGGAGACCUAUUAAAUGGAAGAAACAUAAGUUAAGAACGAAAAUUUUGGACUAAAGUGUGACAUUGGACUUUAAGUUUUCAAUUGAAAAACACUUUUCAUUCUUUAGAUAAAAGAUUAACAUAGUAGAGUAAGUGUGAUUAAGCGAUAGGUCAUGAAUAUGGAAAGAUAACACACUAGACUACGUAAGUUAAAUAGGAAAAAGGCACAUGGAGGAAUAUUAGGUUGAAUAAUCAUAAAAAGAAAAAAAGACGAUCUUAAAAUGUAGGUUUAUGUCUAUGUAUGUUUUGAGGAAGGAAGAUGAAUUAGGAUAAAAAUUUUUGGAUAAAAGAUUAAGAUUAGUGAUUUGGAUCAAGUGUUUAUAUAAAAGAGAUGAAAUGAUUUGCCAUGGACAUGAAUAUGGGAUAAAAAAGCUUGGUUAUACAUAUGAAAUUAGAAAAAGACACAUGGAGUACUAUUGAUUGCACAAAAAAAAAAAAAGAAGAAAUUUUAGGGUAUAAGAGUUUUGGAUUAGCCAUUUGUCAAGGACAUGGAUAUGGGAGGAUAGCAAUACACCACAUCAUUGAACAUUAUAAAGGACAGAUAAGAUUAGCAUUUAUUCAAUUACAGGUUUUUGAUUAUAGAAGUCUUCAUUUCUUGAAAUAAGAUUAGCCAAUUGGGUUUAGUGUCAAUAUAAUUCACGAAGUGACUAGCCUUGGUCAUGAAUAAGAACAAAAAUUGGCUAUCAAAUGAAAUUAAGUUUUUACUUAAAGGGGUUAGGUGAGACUCAUGACCAUGGUUAUAGGAAAAAAAAAAGUUUGGCUAUGCAAAUAUAGUUGGAAAAAUACACAUAGACAACAAUAAACGACACAAAAAGAAAAGUAAGGAUAUGCGAGUUUUGGAUGGAAGUGUGACAUUGAACUUCAAAGUUUUGAAUUAAAUAAUCUUGCCAAUUGUUUAAAGAAAGGAUUAUCAAAUUGAAUUAUGUGUGGAAAAUAGUGCACUAAUAGUGAGAUUAGCUAAUAAUUAGAUUAAGUUUUUACUUAAGAGAUUAGGUGAGAUUCCAUGGACAUGUUUAUAAGAAAAAAGUUUGGCUAUGCAAAUAUGAUUGGAAAAAGACACAUAAUGACUAUAAACGACACACAAAAAAGUAAGGAUAUGUGAGUUUUGGAUGGAAGUGUGACAUUGAAUUUCAUGUUUCGGAUCAAAGAACUCUUACGAUUGUUUGAAAAAAGAAUUAUCAAAUUGGAUAAGUGUUGAGAUGAUACAUCAAGAGUGAAAAUAGCCAAUUGGAUUAAGUUUUUACAAAGGAUUAUUAAAUUGGAUAAGUCUUGAGAUAAUACACCAUGAGUCGGUUUAACAAUUUGGAUUAAGUUUUUCUUUUAGGGACGAGGUGAUUUGUUUCGGACAUGAAUAUAGGAAAAAUGUUUGACAAUAACAUUGUGAAAAAAUACAUGGAAGACUAUGGACGAUGCAAAAUGGGAAGUCAGUAUAUGAGAGUUUUGGAUUGAAGUUUGGCAUUGAACUUCAAGUUAAGCAUAAAAUAAGAUCUUGCCAUUGUACAAUGGAGAAAGAAUUAUCAAAUUGGAUUAAUUAUUAAGAUAAUGUAGUGAGAUUAUCCAAUUGGAUUAAGCUUUUAUUCAAGGGAUGUGAUGUUUUGUCGUUGAGAUGGAUAUAGAAAAAAAAGUUGAAAUUGGAAAAAAACACAUUGAAGGUAAUAGAUGACCAAAAAAGAAAAGUAUAGAUUGAGGUGUGGCAUUGGACUUAAAGUCUUGGAUUAAAGAACUCUUACAAUUGCUUGGAUAAAAGAUUAUCAAAUUGAAUUAAGCAUCGAGAUAAUGCAAAAAAAGUUAGAUUAGCCUACUUGAUUAAGUUUUUAUGUAUGAGAUGGGAAUAUUUGCUUUGGACAUGGAUAUAGAAAAAGACGUUUGGUUGUAAAAAUAAAAUUAGAAAAAGACACAUAAGUUGCUAUAGACGACACAAGAAGGAAACUUUGGAUAUCAGAACUUUUAAUUGAUGUGACAUGGGACUACAAAUUUGGGAUUAAAGAAUUCUUGCCAUUGUUUGGAGAAUGAAUUAUCAAAUUGGAUCAAAUGUGGAGACAUGUACUAAGUGUGGGAUUAGCUAAUUGAAUUUAUGUUUUUACUAAAUGGAUUAGGUGAGAUCCCAUGGCCAUGUUUAUAGAAAAAAAAGUUUGGCUACGCAAAUUUAAUUGGAAAAAGAUACAUGGACGACUAUAAAGGACACAAUGAAAAGUAAGGUUAUGGAUAUUUUGGAUGGAAGUGUGACAUUGGACUUCAUGUUUUGGAUUAAAAAUCUCUUGCCACGUAUGAAAAAAGGAUUAUCAAAUUGGAUUAAGUGUUGAGAUGGUGGACUAAAAGUUAGAUUAACCAAUUGAAUUAAGUUUUUACUUAAAGGAUUAGAUGAGAUCCCAUAGACAUGAUUAUAGGAAAAAGAGUUUGGCUAUGCAAAUAUAAUUAUAAAAAGACACAUUAAGGACUGUAGAUGACAUGAAAAGAAAAGUUUGGAUAUGAGAGUUUUGGAUUCUAGUGUGGUAUUGGACGUCAAGUUUACAUUUAAGUAACUGUUACCAUUGUUUGUAGAAAGAAAUUAUCAAAUUGGAUUUGGUGUCGAUAUAGUGCACUAAGAGUGUGAUUAGCCAAUUGGAUUAAAUUUUUAUUUAACGAAUGAGGUUUUUAACCGCAGACACAUGGGUAUAGGAAGAAAAGUUUAACCAUACAAAUGACAGUGGAAAAAUACACAUUAAGGAUCAUAGACGACAAAAAAAAAAAGGUUAAAUAAUUUGGCAUUGGACUUAAAGUUAAGGAUUAAUUAAUUUUGACCAUUAUUGUUUGGAGGAAAAAUUAUUAAAUUUGAUUAAAUGUUGAGAUAUAGUGCAUUAAGAGUAAGAUAAGCUUACUAGAUAAAUUUUUUAUUUAAGGAAUGAAGUGUUUUGCUAUGAAGAUGGUUAUAUGAAAAAAUGAUUGGCUAUACAAAUGAAAUCGGAAGGAGACUUAUGGAGGACUAUAUGUAGCACAAAACGAAAAAGUUAGAAUAUGAGUGUUUUAGAUUAAUUGUUGCAAUAUAUUUCUACUUUUGAUUUAAAUAACUCUUGCCAUUGGUUAAAUUGGAUUAGUGUUGAGAUAAUGCACUAUAAGAGUGACAUAAGAUAAUUGGAUUAAGUUUUUGUGUAUAAGAUUAUGUGAUUUCGAAUGGAUGUGAUUGUUGGAAAAGAAGCUUGUUAUGUAAUUGUAAUUGGUAAAAAACACAUGGAGGGUUAUAGACGACGCAUGAUGAAAAAUAAAGAUACGUGAGUUUUGGUUUGAAGUGUGGUAUUUGAUUUCAAGUUUUGGAUUAAAGAAAUCUUGCCAUUUGGAGGAAAGAUUAUUAAAUUGGAUAAAUGUUAAGAUAGUACAUUAUUACUGAGUUUAGUUAUUUUGAUUAUGUUAUUCUUAAAAGGAUGAAUGAUCUGCUUUGGACAUGAAUAUAGGAAAAAAAUGUUUGGUAAUAAUUUACGGAAAACACAUGGAGGUCUAUAGAUGACACAAAAAAGGAAAGUUAGGAUAUGAAAAUUUUGAAAUAAAGUGUGACAUUGGACAGAAAGUUUAGGAUUAAAGAACUCCUAUCAUUGUUUGGAGAAAUAAUUAUUCAAAUUGAUUAAUUGUUGAGAUAGUGCACUAAGAUAAAAUUUACCUAUUGGAUUAAGUUUUUAUAUGAGGGAUGUGGUAAUUUGCUAUGGACAUGGAUAUAAGAAAAAACAUUGGUUGUAAAAAUGAAAUUGGAAAAAAAUACAUAAAGGAUCGCAGACGAUGUAAAAGGAAAAGUUAGAAUAUAAGAGGUUUGGAUUGAAGUGUGACAUUUUACUUCAAGUUUAAGAAUAAGGAAUUGGUUGCCAUUUUUUGGAGAAAUAAUGAUGAAAUUAGAUCAAGUGUUAAGGCAGCAGGAAGGGAAGAAACGAGAAAGUUGAAAGGGGAAAAUAACAAAGUAAGAAAAUGGAAAAAGAAAAUAUCAAAAUAAGAUACAAGAAAAUAAAAAGAAAAAAUAUGAAAAUUGACAAGGCGGUGAUUAUUAUUGAUUUGAUUUUUAGUAGAGGAUAGUACCAAAAAGUAUGUAUUACCCAUCAUUACCCUAGAGCCGGACUAGGGUAAUGAUGGGUAAUAAAUACUUUUUGGUACCAUCCACCGUUAAAAACCAAAUUAAUAAUCAUCGUCUUCUCACUUUUCUUGAUUUUUUAAUGAUUUUUUUUUGUUAUUUUCUUGUCUUUUAUUUUGGUAUUUUCUUUUUCCAUUUUUCUACUUUGAUUAAGAGUGAGAUUAGCCAAUUGGAUUAAGUUUUUAUUUAAGGGAUGAAGUGAUUUACCGUGGACAAGUAUGAUUAUACAAAUGAAAUUAGAGAAGGACAAAUGAAAGGACUAUAAACAACACAAAAGAAAAUUAAGGAUAUGCGAGUUUUAGAUUAAGUGUGGCACUGAACUUCGUGUUGUGGAAUAAAGAACUCUUUUCAUUUUUUGGAGAAAGGAUUAUUCAAUUCGAUAAAGUGUUGAGAUAGUGAACUAAUAGUGAGAUUUGCCUAAUGGAUCAAGUUUCUAUUUAAGGGAUGAGGUGAAUUGCCGUGGGCAUGGAUAAGUAAAAUGAAAAGUUAGUAUAUGAGAGUUUUGGACUGAAGUUUAUCAUUGGACUUAAAGUUUAACAUAAAACAAUGAAUUAAGUAUUGAGAUAAAAUAUUGAGAUAACUCAUUAAAAGUGAGAUUAUCCAAUUGGAUUAAGUGUUUAUUUAAGGGAUUUGGUGAUUCAUGGUUGAAAUGGAUAUAUGGAAAAAAGUUUGGCUAUAGAAAUGAAACUGGAAUAAAACACAUUGAGGACCAUAGACGACUCAAAUAGAAAAGUAUGGAUUGAGGUGUGACAGUGGACUACAAGUCAUUAUUAAAGAACUCUUGCAAUUGUUUGGAUAAAAGAUUAUCAAAUUGGAUUAAGUGUUGAAAUAAUGCACAAAAAGUUAAAUUAGCCUACUGGAUCAAGAUUUUAUUUAUGGGAUGUGGUCAUUUGCUUUGGAUAUGGACAUAGAAAAAAACAUUUGGCUGUACAAAUGAAAUUGGAAAAAGACUCACAAGUGUCUAUUGACGACAGAAAAAAAAAGGAACUUUGGAUAUGAGAGCUUUUGAUUGAUGUAUGACAUAAGACAACAAGUUUUGGUUUAAAGAACUCUCUUCAUUGUUUGAAGAAAGAAUUAUGAAACUGAUUUAGUGUUGAGAUAGUGCUCUAAAAGUGAUUACCGAAUUAGAUUAUGAUUUUAUUUAAGGGAUGAAGUGAUUUUUCAUGGAGAUAGAUAUAAGAGUUCAAGUUUUCAAUUAAGGAGGAACUCCUGCCAUUAUUUGGAGAAAGGAUUAUUAAUCUCGAUUAAGAGUUAAUAGUGACUAAGAGUGUGACUAGCCGAUUGGAUUAAAUUUUUAUUUAAGAGUUAAUGUUAUUUGCUGUGGACAUGGAUAUAGGAAUAAUAAGUUUGACUAUACAAAUGAAAUUGGAAAAAGUCACAUUCAAGACUUUAGUCGACACAAAAAAAGGUAAAAUAGGGGAGAUUCAGAUUGAAGUGUGGCAUUGGAUUAUAAGUAUAGGAUUAAAUAACAUUUGCCAUUAUUUGGAGAAUUGAUGAAAUUUGAUUAAAUGUUGAGAUGGUGCAUUGAUUAAAUUAAUAUUGGAAAAGAAGUUUGGUUAUACAAAUAAAAUUGGAAAGACUCAUGAGUGACUAUAGACAACAAAGAAAAAAAGGUUAGGGUAUGAGUUUUUUAUGAAAGUGUGACAUAGAACUACAAAUUUGAGAUUAAAGAACUCUUGCUAUUGUUUUGGAGAAAGGAUUAUCAAAUUGGAUUAGUGUUGAGAUGGUGCUCCGAAAGUAUGAUUAUCUAGUUGAAUUAAAACUUCAUUCAAGGGGCGAUGUGGUUUGUCGUGGACACUGAUUUAGGUAAAAAAAAGUUUGGCCAAUAAAAUGAAAUUAGGAAAAGACACAACGAGGACUGUAGGCAGGAAAAAAGAUAUGUUAGGAUAUGCGAAUUUUGAAUUGAAGUGUGACAUUGAACGUCAAGUUCAAAAUUAAGUAUCUCUUGCCAUUGUUAUGAGAAAGGAUUAUCAACUUGAGUUAGUGUUGAAUUAGUGCACCAAGAGAUUAAGUUUUUAUUUAAGGGAUAUGGUGAUUUGUCGUGGACAUGAGUAUAGGAAAAAACCAUUUGGCUAUAGAAAUAAUAUUGGAAAAAGACAACAUGAAGGACUAUAGACGACACAAAAACGAGAUAUAUGAUAUGAGAGUAUUGGAUAUUAAAUAACUCUUGUCAUUUUUUGUAGAAAGAAUUACUAAAUUUGAUGAAGUAUUGAGUCCAUUGAGUGAGCUGAAGCCUAUUGGAUUAAGUUUUUAUUUGGAGGAUGAGGUGAGUUGUUAUGGACAUGAACAUAGGAAAAAAGGUUUUGUUAUACAAAUGAUAUUGGAAAAAGACACGCGACAUCGACAUUGUACUCUUGGUUUAGGAUUAAAGCCUUCUUUUUAUUGAUAAUAUGUGAGACUUGAAGGUCAAAGUACAUGAGUAUUAAAGUGAAAACUUAGGCAUCAAGAAGAAGAGAGCCUAAACACACAAAGUCAAAGAGAAAUGUAACAAACGGAAUAAAACCUUUUCAAGACGAAACAACUAUAGGAUGCUAAAAACAUAGCAAAAACUUGAUAACUCUUUCAAGUGGCAUUGACAUUUAAAGCUCUUAGUAAAAUGUGGCAUUGGCGUUGGACUCUUACUUUAGGAUUAAAGCCUCUUUUUUAAUAAUAAUAUAUGAGACUUAAAACUUAAAGUACAAGAGUAUUGUAAUAAAAACAAAGGAACUAGGAGAAUAAAAACUAAAGUGAAAACUUAGGCAACAAGAAAAAGGAAGCCUAAACAAACGAAAUCUAAGAGAAAUGUAAUAAACAGAAUAAAGUCUUUUCAAGACGAAACAACUAUAGGAAGCUAAAAACGUAGCAAAACUUGACAACUCUCUCAAGUGGCAUUGACAUUGGACUUAAAGCUCUUAGUGAAAUGUGACAUUGACAUUGGAUUCUUACUUUUGUUUUAUUAGAGCCUCUUUUUGAAGGAUAAUAUAUGAGACUUAAAGCUUAAAGUACAAGAAUAUUGUAUUAAGAACAAAAAAACUAGGGGAA